UAAGUACUCCCUCCGUCUGGAAAUACUUGUCAAAGGAAUGGAUGAAUCUAGACGUAUUUUAAUUUUAGAUACAUCCAUUUUUAUGGAUUUCUGCGACAAGUAUUUCCAGACGGAGGGAGUAUCAU
rfam:Triticum aestivum genome assembly, contig: Triticum_aestivum_CS42_TGACv1_scaffold_222584_3B